rfam:Salmo salar isolate Sally breed double haploid chromosome ssa01, whole genome shotgun sequence.
UGCACAUAAUACUGUAAGUCGCUUAAGAUAAAAGCGUCUGCUAAAUGACAUAUA